AUUGAACGCUAGCGGGAUGCCUUACACAUGCAAGUCGAACGGAGUGGCGAACGGGUGAGUAAUGUAUCGGAACGUGCCCAGUAGCGGGGGAUAACUACGCGAAAGCGUAGCUAAUACCGCAUACGAUUGGAGCGGCCGUUAUCGGCAUAGCUAGUUGGUGGGGUAACGCCACACAAAGGGGACGAUCCGUAUCUGGUUUGAGAGGACGACCAGCCACCCUGGGACUGAGCCACGCCCCAGACUCCUACGGGAGGCAGCAGUGGGGAAUUUUGGACAAUGGGGGAAACCCUGAUCCAGCCAUCCCGCGUGUGCGAUGAAGGCCUUCGGGUUGUAAAGCACUUUUGGCAGGAAAGCGGUACCUGCAGAAUAAGCACCGGCUAACUACGUGCCAGCAGCCGCGGUAAUAC
rnacentral:rRNA from 1 species